rnacentral:lncRNA from 1 species
AUGGACAAAAUGGACCCCUGCAAUCUGAACAGAAAAGGGAUUUUUGCCAACACCGUAUGGCAAUGGCGCAUCAUGCAUGUAAGGAAGUAUUCAAAAAACCCAGAACCAUUUCUUUGUAGCAAUAAGAUAGGCUUGGAUUUUAAUGUUGGAUCCACCACAAAGAAAAAAAAGGAUGUAGGACUACUGACAAAUGGUGUUGUUCUAGAGGUCUGUGAUUUUGCAAAAACAGUUAAGGAGAGUAAAAGGCAUUUGAUCACAAACAUUUUAGAGAAGAAUUUUGACCUUGGAUUAGAAAACGAACAACAACGGGCUGAUUUUACAAAACGCAUUCUGCUUAAACUCGAAGACCUUAUCAGAACACCUCUUCAAAACAAACACAAAGCUUUUCCUCUUUUUGAUACAUUGAGUGUGCCUUCAUGUACAAACAGUAUUGAACAUGGACAGAAUGUGGGAUCUGCAGAACACCAGUCUGACAGUUUACAGGAGCUAAUGGAGACUGAUUAUGGAGAAGAUGAAGCCAAAACAAAAAAGGUGGAUGGAUUCCAUGCUGAUGACAGUGAUGAAGAUCAAAUGGAGUGGUUGGGUGCAACAGAAGACAUGAAAGCAGAUGCUUGUGCACUCUUAUUUCCCUAUUGUGAAGAGAUUGGUUUGAGUUUUGACCUUGAGUCACAACAGCACCUGGAUCCGGAUUUGUUGACAAAAGCAGUCAUGUUAGAACUUGUAGACUUCAGUACACUGCUGAAUGCAUCCUACAGCUCCAUUGUUCUUGAUGUCUUGGAUUAUAAUUUUGAACUUGAUGUCAAAAGUCAGCAGGGACAAAAACUAGUUUGGUCCACAAUAUUACAUCUGCUGAAAAGGAGAAAACAAUUUGCCGUUGCCAGUGCCAAAUUGGGUACACAGUUUGAAAAUGAACCAUUUUCAAUUCAGACAAACCCCUUAAAACGACCACAAACACCAGGAGAGACCAAUUUAGAGGCCCCACUAAGUCAUGAGGAAGUAACUAAAAAGAGAAAGUCUUAUUUAAAAAGAGAAGAGAACCUUUUCCAGGAAUCUCUCCUUGCCACAAGUAAUGGUUCAUACAAUGAAAAUCAAACAUACAUUCCUACAACUUUAACGUCACACUUCACUGAAGCUUAUGCUUUUCAGGACAGACCAGAAGAACUUCCUAACAGGAAAAAAAUGUGUCUUGCUAACCAGAGAAGUGAUGUGAAGGAAGCAGUAAGGCAAAAACAACUGCAGAUACAAAGAGACAUAGUCAUGCUGCAAAGUGAUGUAGAAACUGAUAAUACCACAGAUUCAGAGAACUGGACAGAUGAGGAUGACCUAAGCAACACACGAAAAUCUGAAAUAAAUGUGGUCCCACCAUUUACAAGUCAAGAUGAACAACAGAUGCUACUACCAACAACUGCACCAAAUGAAUGUGACACGAUCCCAGAUGAAAUGGGAUCAAUGUUCAACAUGUGGAAGUUUCGUUCUAAACGUGUAAAUCAAAUUCUCCUUCAAAUGAGUAACCGUGGGUUAUUGCCGGAUUAUUGUAGGAGGCAAAAGUAUCUAGAAUUCGAUGUUGGAUUUGCACCAAAGCAGAACCUCCAUCCUGACCAACUGAAAUAUUUUUGUCUGUUCAGAGUUGCUCAUUUUGCCUUAGCAAUGAAUUCAUCAAAGUCAGAAUUCAUCAUGGACAUUCUUGAAAACAACUUUGACCUUGGCCUACAGAGUGCAUACCAUAAACAUGUUUUUUCAUGUGAAAUGAUGACACGAACAAGAGAUCUUCAGAACUGUGAGGAUGCUGUCAAAUUCUCAAAACAGGUGUUUAAACUUCCUGUUCCAAUGUCAUCAGAAGAUAUGGAAUAUCAGAUUGUUGAUGAGGGAAAUCUUGAACUCAGCUGCAUGACAGGAACAGGAACAUAUGAUGUUCCUCUUGAUUCACACUUUGAUGCUGAGCCUGGCUCACAUGCUGAAGAGGGAACAACUCAACAGGAAAGUGUGGAUCCCUAUCCCUUCUGUAAGGACAUUGGUCUGAAGCUAUAUGUAAGCGACGGUCGGCCAAAUCAAAAACUCCACAUCAACAAACUGACUAAAGGAGCAAUGACCGAAAUCAUAAUCUUUGCAGAAAAGCUAUGUGGAUCAUUUGAGCAGAUUUGUUUUGAUAUCCUCAGACACAACUUUGAUCUUGAUUUGCAAAGUGUAGACUCUGACCUCUUUCAAAACAUUCUUAGGCGCAUUCCUGCUGCAAAUGACGUAGUGAAUCUAGCAUGCUAUGUACCAUCCAACUAUAAGGAUCGUAAACAUAAUGUAAGGGAUGCAUCUGUACUCAAAGAACUGCAAUACCAAAGCAAUUCAGACUUGGAAGCAAACAAUGCUUGUCCUACCCAGGCACCCACGGAACAAAACAGAACAAUGUCUAAUGACAACGAACAACAACAUGACAUCAAUUUAUUGCUGUGGAAACUGCGAUCUAAUUGUAUUCAGCGAAUCCUCUCAGCUCAUGAACAUUGCCCCCUGUUUUCUUACUCAAGAUGUAAGAAAUUGGGCAUUGAUUUUAAUGUCGGAUCUGGAAUUAAAAAAAAUCUUGAUCCAAUGUUGUUGACCAAUGGAGUCAUGGUUGAACUUCACACUUUUGCCUCAGCACUGCUGUCAUCCGAACCAGAUUUCAUGACUGAGGUAUUGGAGUAUAAUUUUGAUCUAAAUCUGAACACAGAGCAUCUUCGCAGUGCCUAUGCAGAAGAACUUUGGAGUCAGUUUAUGAAAAUUAAGGUAAAAAGGUUCUCAGUCCCCGUCAAAAAAAGCCUGUUCAAGAUCCCUGGCCCAGGAUGCAUAAAGGAAUAUACUCCACAUUGCUCCAAGUGUUGCCAAGACAGAAACCAGAUGCUUCUUAAGGAUGUUUAUGGGCCAAAUGUCAUGUUUCAUCGUAAUCUGCACAUAAUCACUGACACAGACUCUGGUAAUGCAGACUCUACAAAUCAAAGACAUGUAAUGGACCCAAUCUCUGCAUUCCAGGCAUCAGAUUCCUUCUUCAGUUGCUACCGUGAGUGUAGUAAAGUAGGUUUAAACCUCUGUUUGGACAACAACCAUCCAAACGAAAAACUUAAAACACAUGAAAUAACUGCUGCAGCUAUGUUGGAGUUGUUUUCUUUUGCCAAAAGACUGUGUGGAACAGGACCCAGGAUUAUUCUAGAUAUCCUUGUUCACAACUUCAACUUUGACCUGCAGAAACCUUUCAAGCACUUAUUUCCGCAUUUCAAACAUGACCCAUUUGACGGAGGCCUUGCCUGGUUUAAUGAAGUUUAUGGUAUUGAUCAACUGUUUAGUAAACAUGCCAUAAAGAAAACCUGGACUCUUGAAAUGCAGGGGAUUGACAGAAAGAAAGCAGUAAGGAAAAGAAUACUGAUGAUGCAAAGAAAAAAGGAAAGAGCACUGCUGGAAAGUGAUAGUGAAACUGAUGAAACCACAGAUUCAGAGAACUGGGUAGAUGAGGAUGACAUACACAACACACCAAAUUCUGAACAACAGAUUCUCCUUCCAGCAACUCCAACAAAUGAAUGUGACCUAGAAGAAGAAGGAAUUGGAUUGCAGAGCAACAUGUGGAAGUUGCGUGCCAAACGUGUAAAACAAAUCCUCUUUGAAAUGAGUAAGCAUGAGAGGAUAGAGAGGAUAAAUAAGAACAUGACAGUCUGUCUAGAAUUCAAUGUUGGAUUUACACCAAAGCAGAACUUCCAUCCUGACAAAUUUAGAAAUGUUUCUCUCCUCAGAGUUGCUCGAUUUGCCUUAGCAAUGAAUUCAUCAAAGUCAGAAUUCAUCAUGGACAUUCUUGAAAACAACUUUGACCUUGGCCUACAGAGUGCAUACCAUAAACAUGUUUUUUCAUGUGAAAUGAUGAAAAGGGCAAGAGAGCUUCAAAACUGUGAGGAUGCUGUCAAAUUCUCAAAAGAGGUGUUCGAACUUCCUGUUCCAAUGUCAUCAGAAGAUAUGGAAUAUCAGAUUGUUGAUGAGGGAAAUCUUGAACUCAGCUGUAUGACAGGAACAGGAACAUAUGAUGUUCCUCUUGAUUCACACUUUGAUGCUGAGCCUGGCUCACAUGCUGAAGAUGGAACAACUCAACAGAAAUGUGUGGAUCCCUAUCCCUUCUGUAAGGACAUUGGUCUGAAGCUAUAUGUAAGCGACGGUCGGCCAAAUCAAAAACUCCACAUCAACAAACUGACUAAAGGAGCAAUGACCGAAAUCAUAAUCUUUGCAGAAAAGCUAUGUGGAUCAUUUGAGCAGAUUUGUUUUGAUAUCCUCAGACACAACUUUGAUCUUGAUUUGCAAAGUGUAGACUCUGACCUCUUUCAAAACAUUCUUAGGCGCAUUCCUGCUGCAAAUGACGUAGUGAAUCUAGCAUGCUAUGUACCAUCCAACUAUAAGGAUUGGAAAUGUAACAUAUGGGAUCCAUCUGUACUCAAAGAACUGCAAUACCAAAGCAAUACAGACUUGGAAGCAAACAAUGCUUCUCCUACUCAGGCACCCACAGAACAAAACAGAAGGAUGUCUGCUGACACCGAACAACAACAUGGCAUCAAUUUAGUGCUGUGGAAGCUGCGAUCUAAUCGUAUUCAGCGAAUCCUCUCAGCUCAUGAAGAACUCUGCCCUUUGUUUUCUUACUCAAGAUGUAAGAAAUUGGGCAUUGAUUUUAAUGUCGGAUCUGGAAUUAAAAAAAAUCUUGAUCCAAAGUUGUUGACCAAUGGAGUCAUGGUUGAACUUCACACUUUUGCCUCAGCACUGCUGUCAUCUGAAACAGAUUUCAUGGCUGAGGUAAUGGAGUAUAAUUUUGAUCUAAAUCUGAACACUGAGCCCCUUCGCAGUGCCUAUGCAGAAGAACUUUGGAGUCAGUUUAUGAAAAUUAAGAGAAAACGGCUCUCAGUUUCUCUUAAAAAAAGCCCAAUCGAGAUCCCUGGCCCAGGAUGCAUAAAGCAAUACACUCCACAUUGCUCCAAGUGUUACCAAGACAGAAACCAGAUGCUUUUUAGGGAUGUUUUUCAGCCAUAUGACAUGUUUCAUCAUAAUCUGCAUGUCAUCACUGCCACAGAUUCUGGUAAUGCAGACUCUACAAAUCAAAGACAUGUAAUGGAGCCAGUCUCUACAUUCCAAACAUCAGAUUCCUUCUUCAGCUGCUACCGUGAGUGCAGUAAAGUAGGUUUAAACCUCUGUUUGGACAACAACCAUCCAAACGAAAAACUUAAAACGCAUGAAAUAACUGCUGCAGCUAUGUUAGAGCUGUUUUCUUUUGUCAAAAGACUAUGUGGAACAAGAUUCAGGAUUGUUCUAGAUAUCCUUGACCACAACCUCAACUUUGACCUGCUGAAACCUUCCAAGCGUUUUACGCCACAUUUCAAACAUGACCCAUUUGAUGGAAGUCUUGCCUGGUUUCAUAAAGUUUAUGUUGUUCAAGAAAGGUCAGUAACAUGUCCAAAUGGGAAAGAAUGGUGUCUUGACCAGAGAAGUGAUGUGAAGGAAGCAGUAAAGCAACAAGGGAAACAGGGAAAGCAGGAAACAGUCAUGCUGCAAAGUGACGUAGAAUCUGAAGAAACCAGAGAUUCUGAAAACUGGGCAGAUGAGGAUCACUUACAGGAUGCAACAAAUUCUGAAAUAAAUGGGGUCCCACCAUUUGCAAGUCAGUUUGAUAAAAGCAGGCACCAAGGACAUGAACAACAGAUGCUCCUUCAAAAAACUGCACCAAAUGAAUGUGACAUGAAACGGGAAGAAAUGGGAUCAAUGAUCAACAUGUGGAGGUUGCGUUCUAAACGCGUAAAACAAAUUCUUCAAAUGAAACACCAUGACUUUUUGAAGUGUCUUAAGCGAAAGUAUCUAGAAUUUGAUGUUGGAUUUGCACCAAAGCAGAACCUCCAUCCUGACCAACUGAUAUAUUCUUAUCUGUUCAGAGUUGCUCUUUUUGCCUUAGCAAUGAAUUCAUCAAAGUCAGAAUUCAUCAUGGACAUUCUUGAAAACAACUUUGACCUUGGCCUACAGAGUGCACACCAUAAACAUGUUUUUACAUGUGAAAUGAUGACACAAGCAAGAGAGCUUCAGAACUGUGAGGAUGCUGUCAAAUUCUCAAAAGAGGUGUUUGAACUUCCUGUUCCAAUGUCAGCAGCAGAUAUGGAAAAUCAGAUCAUGGAUGAGGGAAACCUUGAAUUCAGCUGCAUGACAGGAACAGGCUCAUAUGAUCUUCCUCUUGAUUCACACUUUAAUGCUGAACCUGGCUCACAUGCUGAAGAUGGAACUCAAACUCAACAGAAAAGUGUGGAUCCCUAUCCCUUCUGUAAGGACAUUGGUUUGCAGCUAUAUGUUAGCGAUGGUCAGCCAAAUCAAAAACUCCACAUCAACAAACUGACUAAAGGAGCAAUGACCGAAAUCACAAUCUUUGCAGAAAAGCUAUGUGGAUCAUUUGAGCAGAUUUGUUUUGAUAUCCUCAGACACAACUUUGAUCUUGAUUUGCAAAGUGUAGACUCUGACCUGUUUCAAAACAUUCUUAGGCACAUUCCUGCUGCAAAUGACAUAGUGAAUCUACAAUACUGUGUACCCACCCACAAACACAUAAACCAUCCAUCUGUGCUAAAUCAGCUGCAUUACCAGACCACUUCAGAUUUGGAUGCAAACUACACUCCUUCUGAGCAGUCUGUUACAGACCACAAUGUAAGCAGGACCAAUGAUACUGAUCAACAAAAUGACUUUAAUUCAAUUCUGUGGAAACUACGAUCUAAUCGUAUUAAGCAAAUCCUCUCAGUUCAUGAAGAACAUUGUCCACUGUAUUCUUACUCAAGAUGUAAGAAGUUGGGCAUUGAUUUCAACAUUGGAUCCGGAGUAAAACAAAACCUUGACCGCAAGUUUCUGACCAAUGGCCUCAUGGUUGAACUUCACACUUUUGCCUCGUGGCUGAUGUCAUCCACAACAGAUUUCAUGACUGACAUACUGGAGUAUAAUUUUGAUCUGAAUCUGAAUACUGUGCACCUUCGUAGUGCCUUUGGAAAACAACUCUGGCAUGAAUUUAGCUUAAUCAAGUCAAGAAAAGCCAGCAGCACUCUAAACCUGUUAAAAAUCAGUUUUUCAGAACACAUAAAAAAACUUACUCCACACUGUAUGUGUACCCAAGUCAGAAACCAGAUGCUUCUUGCAGAUGCUUUUGAGCAACAUGACAUGCUUCAGCAUCAUUUACAUGCCAUGACUGACCCUGUCUCUGCUGAUGCAAACUGUACAAACCAAUACCCUGCAAUAGAGUUUUUUUUUCCAACUUUAAGAGGUCAUUGCAGAGAAAUUGGUUUAAGCCUGUAUGUGGACGAAUGCCACCCAAAAGAAAAACUUAAAACCUGUGAAAUAACCAGUGCAGCUCUGUAUGAGGUGUUUACUUUUGCCAAAAAACUGAGUGGAACAAGAAGGAACAUUCUACUUACUAUCAUUGAACACAACUUCAACUUAAAUUUGGAAGACAUACCCAGUUGUGAAGUGUUGAUGUUCUAUCAGUUUCCAUUUGACGGAGACCUUGCCUGGUUCAAACACAUUUAUGUGUUUCAUCCAAAGGCUAGAAAGCUUCAAAAUCUGAAACAAUCAAGUCUUAACAUGCAGAGAAGUGAGAAAAAGGAAGCAGUGAAGAAAAAAAAACUCAUUGUGCAUGGAACAAAGGAAAGAGUCAUGCUGCAAAGCAAUGUAGAUAGUGAUCAAAACACAGAUUCUGAAAACUGGGCAGAUGAGGAUCAUUUACACGAUGCAACACAUUCUGAAAUGAAUGUGGACCCACAAUUUGCAAGUCAGUCUGAUGACAAACAACAAGCACAUGAACAACAGAUGCUCCUUCCAACAACUGCACCAGAUGAAUGUGGCAUGAUACAAGAAGAAAUAGGACCAGAAAGCAACAUGUGGAAGUUGCGUGCUAAUCGUGUAAAGAAAAUCCUCUUUGACCAGUGUAAAGAUCACUGUCAGUUCUUCAACAAGAAAGUUUAUCUGGAAUUCAAUGUUGGAUUUAUGCCUAAGCAAAACCUCAGUGCUGACAUUUUUACACAUUCUGUCCUAUUCAGAGUUGCACAAUUUGCUAUAGCAAUGAGUUCAUCCCAGCCAGACUUCAUCAUGAAAAUUCUUGAAAACAACUUUGACCUAUGCCUGGGCAGGGUACACCAUGAAGAUGUGUUUACAUGUGAACUGAUGAAAAAACUAAGAGAGCUUCAAAGUUGUGAGGAUGCCGUCAAAUUCUCAAAAGAGGUUUUUGAACUUCCUGAUCCAUUGUCUGCUGAAGCUCAUCCUCACACUAAAGCUGAUUCACCUGCUGGGCCUGAUCCACAUGUCAAAACUAAACCAGUUUCACAGGCUCAAACAACUUCAAGUGUGGAUCCCUAUCCCUUCUGUAAGGACAUUGGGAUGAAGCUAAAUGUUGGCAACAGUCAACACAAUAAAAAACUUCACAUCCACAGACUCACUAAAGGAGCAAUGACCGAAGUGGCAGCCUUUGCAGAAAAGCUGUGUGGAACAUUUGACGACAUUUGUUUUGAUAUCCUCAGACAUAACUUUGAUCUUGAUUUGCCCAGCGUAGAUUGUGAGCUGUUUCAAAACAUUCUUGCUCAAAUUCCUGCUGCAAAUGACACAGUGAAUCUAGCGACCAUUUCAUGUCAUGUGACGCCGUUGCACUUGCACAGUGACCCUAUAGUUCUCCAACAACUGCCAUGCCAGCCCAAACCCAAUGAAGGAGAACACAGUGCUGUUCUAACUCAAGCUGUAAAAGACCAUAAUUUCAGUAGGCUCAUUGACGCAGAAGAACAUGACCGUGAUUCAUUCCUGUGGACAUUGCGAGCUAAUCGUGUUUGGCAGAUCCUCUCAGUUCAUGGAGAACAUUGCCCUUUGUAUUCUUAUUCCAGAUGUAAGAAGUUGGGCAUUGAUUUUAACAUAGGAUCUGGAGAAAAACGAGAUCUUGACCCAAAGUUGCUGACCAAUGGCAUCAUGAUUGAACUUCAGACUUUUGCCAAAGCACUGGUGUCUUCCAAGAAAGAUUUUAUGACUGAGAUACUGGAGUAUAAUUUUGACCUAAACUUGAGGGGAGAGCUACAUCGAAGCGCCUAUGCACAGGAGCUCAUGAAAAACGUUGUAGCUAUGAAGGCAAAAAAGGCCACGACCCUUAAAAGAAACCAUGCUUUUGAAAUCCCUGACCCCAAAUCCGUAGUGGGAAAUGCUCCAUGUUGCCCUAAAUGCUAUCAAGACAGAAAUUAUGCAUUUCGUCAGGAUGAGUCUAAUCCAGAUCACAUCUUUCAUUAUGAUGCACACACCAAAACUGACAUCAUAUCUGCUGACUGCACAACACAAAAACCUGUUAUGGACCUAGUUUCUGAUUUCCCAGCAUCAGAGGCCUUAUUGAGAUUGUAUCCUCACUGUGAAAACAUAGGUUUAAACCUGUGUGUGGACAAAGACCACCCAAAAGAAAGCCUUGACAUGGAUUUAUUGACAUGGACAACUAUCAGGGAGGUUUGUUCUUUUGCCAAAACACUGUCUGGCAAAAAACAGAAAAUUCUUGGUGAUGUCCUUGCACACAACUUCCACUUGGAUGUGCAGAACUUGAACAUACAUCCCUCUCAGUUCUGCCCUGACACUCCUAGCUGGUUUGAUGAAGUUUUUGUCUUACAAACAAGGAGCCCCACACCUUCUUCAGAGGAUGCACUGAAAAUUGAAAGGAAGAAAGCAAUCAAAAGACAAAAAGUACAAAAACACAAAAAAGCUGCACUGAGUGAUAAUAUGGCAAGUCAUUUGAGUGUUGAAAAACUAUAUCCUCUUUGCAGUGAAAUAGGUCUGGACUUGGAUGUGACAUCAAAAUCAGAAAACAAAGAAAAACUGGACUUGAACCUCCUGACAAUACCUGUAAUAUUGGAGAUUCAAAAAUUUAUAUCUAAGAAAGUAAGUCACUAUUUCCCCAGCACCUUGUAUGACAUCCUGGAUCAUAACUUCGAUCUUAGCUCACAACAUCACAGGAAAUGGGAAUUUUCUCUAGAAACUGCAAGCAGAUUCAGAAUUGCAGCGAGGAAGUGGAAAAAUAAAUCUGGUGGUGAAGAUACAGUCUUCAAGUUACCGUUUGUGUUUCAUAAACCAGAGCAUGAAACAUCUCCUAAAAAAUCACACAGAAAAAAAAAUAAAAGUCACAAACAGGCAUUGGAAAUGCCGAGCUAUUGUUGGCCCCUCUCUUCUUCCAGUGAUGACAUCAGUGAAAAUGAUGACUUCACUGGUGAUGACAUAAACAUGGAGAUGUGUGAUAAUCUUCUUCCAGGAAACCUACAGGUUAAAGAGGAGACAUGUUAUGUCGAUGUGGGGUCAGAGACAGAGAAUUUCCAGUAUUUCCUCUUUGCCCCAUCGACAGCUGAAUCUGAAGGAUUUGGAAUGCUACCACCAUGUUCUAACAUUGUGGGCACCAUGAAUGCAGGAUCAGCCGCCACAUAUUUUGCCCCAGUGACAGGGUUCAUACCAGUUCAAGUGAUACCUAUGUCUGAGAAUGCUGUGAAUAUUUCUAUCGAAGAGGAGCAAGAAGAUAUGCUGGUUGACCUUGGCUCCUCCGAAGAUCAUUCAAACGCAAAUAUUGUGACCAUUAAAGGGGAAUAUGAUCCAUAA